UGGGGAAUAUUGCACAAUGGGCGCAAGCCUGAUGCAGCCAUGCCGCGUGUAUGAAGAAGGCCUUCGGGUUGUAAAGUACUUUCAGCGGGGAGGAAGGGAGUAAAGUUAAUACCUUUGCUCAUUGACGUUACCGACAGAAGAAGCACCGGCUAACUCCGUGCCAGCAGCCGCGGUAAUACGGAGGGUGCAAGCGUUAAUCGGAAUUACUGGGCGUAAAGCGCACGCAGGCGGUUGAUUGAGUCAGAUGUGAAAUCCCCGGGCUUAACCCGGGAAUUGCAUCUGAUACUGGUCAGCUAGAGUCUUGUAGAGGGGGGUAGAAUUCCAUGUGUAGCGGUGAAAUGCGUAGAGAUGUGGAGGAAUACCGGUGGCGAAGGCGGCCCCCUGGACAAAGACUGACGCUCAGGUGCGAAAGCGUGGGAAGCAAACAGG
rnacentral:rRNA from 1 species